UACGUAGGGUGCGAGCGUUAAUCGGAAUUACUGGGCGUAAAGUGUGCGCAGGCGGCAGAGCAAGUCGAGUGUGAAAGCCCCGGGCUUAACUUGGGAAUUGCGCUCGAAACUACUUUGCUGGAGUGUGGCAGAGGAAGGUGGAAUUCCACGUGUAGCGGUGAAAUGCGUAGAGAUGUGGAGGAACACCGAUGGCGAAGGCAGCCCCCUGGGUCAAGCAUUGACGCUCGAU
rnacentral:rRNA from 1 species